AAAGUGCAAUUGACCAAGUGUCGUAGGGUUCAGGCAAUAGGGUUUUUGGUUUAUGAGUCUGUGACGAUCCGAUUAAAAAUUGCCUCAGGCAAAGUAGACCAAAGUGCAAUUGACCAAGUGUCGUAGGGUUCAGGCAAUAGGGUUUUUGGUUUAUGAGUCUGUGACGAUCCGAUUAAAAAUUGCCUCAGGCAAAGUAGACCAAAGUGCAAUUGACCAAGUGUCGUAGGGUUCAGGCAAUAGGGUUCCCCCAGGCAAUCAAAUUUCACCAGGCAUUUUUGGUUUAUGAGUCUGUGACGAUCCGAUUAAAAAUUGCCUCAGGCAAAGUAGACCAAAGUGCAAUUGACCAAGUGUCGUAGGACAAACUACAGCCAGACAAACUACAGCGAAAGCAUUUGCCAAGAAUGUCUUCAUUAAUCAAGAACGAAAGUCAGAGGUUCGAAGGCGAUCAGAUACCGCCCUAGUUCUGACCGUAAACGAUGCCAACUAGCGAUCCGCUGAUGGAAAUUAUAUUGCCUUGGUGGGGAGCUUCCCGGAAACGAAAGUCUUCCGGUUCCGGGGGAAGUAUGGUUGCAAAGCUGAAACUUAAAGGAAUUGACGGAAGGGCACCACCAGGAGUGGAGCCUGCGGCUUAAUUUGACUCAACACGGGGAAACUCACCCGGCCCGGACACUGUGAGGAUUGACAGAUUGAUAGCUUUUUCAUGAUUCAGUGGAUGGUGGUGCAUGGCCGUUCUUAGUUCGUGGAGUGAUUUGUCUGGUUUAUUCCGAUAACGAGCGAGACUCUAACCUACUAAAUAGCUGAUACAUACUCUUUGUGUAUACAGCUUCUUAGAGGGAUUUGCGGCGUUCAGCCGAAAGAAAUUGAGCAAUAACAGGUCUGUGAUGCCCUUAGAUGUCCGGGGCUGCACGCGCGCUACACUGGCAAAAUCAACGAACUUGUCCUACCCUGAAAGGGGCGGGUAAACCAUUGAAAAUUUGCCGUGAUUGGGAUCGGAAAUUGCAAUUAUUUUCCGUGAACGAGGAAUUCCAAGUAAGUGCGAGUCAUCAGCUCGCGUUGAUUACGUCCCUGCCCUUUGUACACACCGCCCGUCGCUGCCCGGGACUGAGCCAUUUCGAGAAAUUUGGGGACCGUUGAUUUAAUUUAUCUAAAUUAUUUUGAUGGAAACCAAUUUAAUCGCAGUGGCUUGAACCGGGCAAAAGUCGUAACAAGGUAGCUGUAGGUGAACCUGCUGCUGGAUCAUUACUUUAUGUGAUGUUCAAUUUUGAAUCGCAAUGAAAUAAUUGUUGUGUAACGGCUGUCGCUGGUGUCUAGGUGUUGCUGAUACAGUUGUGAACGUCCGUGGCUGUAUAUGUGGUGACAUGUUAGGACUAUAAUGAGUUUAAGACUUAAUGAGCCUCUUAAGUGAGGACGCCAGCACUCUUUUUUUCUCUAUAUUUUAAAAAAAAACAAAAUUCCUAGCCUUUCCGGUGGAUCACUAGGCUCGUGGAUCGAUGAAGAACGCAGCAAACUGCGAUAAGUUUUGCGAACUGCAGCAGCCUUGAGCAUAAAAGUUUUGAACGCAUAUUGCCGCAUAGGGGUCAAACCCUUUGCUAUGUCUGGUUCAGGGUCAUUUUCUUUCAAACUCGUAGACCUCGUGUGGAGUCCGGGCCAGAGUUCUCUUUUCUGGUUUAGAGAUCAUGUCCCUGAAAGUGGCUCAGCCUGAGAUAGGGAUGCUGGUCUCGUAAAGCGCAGCGGUUCCUGUUGUGUCCCGUGUGCUCCACAUGAGCCGUGAAAAUACGAGGGAGGCAAUUUAAAAUCUCCUGCCUGAUCGUACCCAUAUCCGCAGCAGGUCUCCAAGGUGAACAGCCUCUAGUCGAUAGAAUAAUGUAGGUAAGGGAAGUCGGCAAAUUAGAUUCGUAACUUCGGGAAAAGAAUUGGCUCUAAAGGUUGGGUCAGUCGGGCUGUUGUGUGAAACAGGUGGACUUUGCUCGUGGCUGCUUGAUCUUCCCUUCGGGGCGGCGCUUGUGGACUAGUAGUGAGGACUGCUUGUGGAGCGCUUCAGCUGCGUACUAUUUCGAAAGAUAUAGUACUUCGAUUGGCGCUGAACAACCAGUUUAGAACUGGCACGAACUCCGGGAAUCCGACUGUCUAAUUAAAACAGAGGAGACGGAUGGUCUUUGCAGGACGUUGACCGUGUCUGAUUUCUGCCCAGUGCUCUGAAUGUUAAGCCAAGGAAACUUGAUUAAGCGCGGGUAAACGGCGGGAGUAACUAUGACUCUCUUAAGGUAGCCAAAUGCCUCGUCGGCUAACUACCGACGCGCACGAAUGGAUCAACGAGAUUCCCACUGUCCCUAUCUACUAUCUAGCGAAACCACAGCCAAGGGAACGGGCUUGGCAAAUUUAGCGGGGAAAGAAGACCCUGUUGAGCUUGACUCUAGUCUGACUUUGUGAAGAAUCAUGAGAGGUGUAGCAUAAGUGGGAGUCGUAAGACAACAGUGAAAUACCACUACUUUCAUCGAUUCCUUACUUAAUCGGUAAAACGGGAGUUGUGUCUACGGACCUUCAUUUUUGUUUUAAGACUAGCCACUCGGUGGUUGGUUGACUCGCGCCGAUGACAUUGUCAGGCGGGGAGUUUGACUGGGGCGGUACAUCUGUCAAAUUGUAACGCAGGUGUCCUAAGGCGAGCUCAGAGAGGACGGAAACCUCUCGUUGAGCAAAAAGGCAAAUGCUUACUUGAUCUUGAUUUUCAGUACGAAUACAGACCGCGAAAGCGUGGCUUAUCGAUCCUUUUGAGUUUGUAAAGUUUACAGCAAGAGGUGUCAGAAAAGUUACCACAGGGAUAACUGGCUUGUGGCGGCCAAGCGUCCAUAGCGACGUCGCUUUUUGAUCCUUCGAUGUCGGCUCUUCCUAUCAUUGCGAAGCAGAAUUCGCCAAGCGUUGGAUUGUUCACCCACCAAUAGGGAACGUGAGCUGGGUUUAGACCGUCGUGAGACAGGUUAGUUUUACCCUACUAAAUACUUGUUGCUAUGAUGGUAAUCCUGCUUAGUACGAGAGGAACCGCAGGUUCAGACAUUUGGUUCAUGUGCUUGGUCGAUAGGCCAAUGGCGCGAAGCUACCAUCUGAGGGAUUAUGACUGAACGCCUCUAAGUCAGAAUCCCGCCCAGUCAUGAUAGCAAUAUAUAUCGCUCUCCGGUGUCGGAAGGCAAAAUGUAUGCCACUUUUUGUGGUAGUACAAGCCCCAGUAUCUGGCAUUUUCUUUCUACUAUAAUUGGUAGUUGGUUGCUAAAAGCUUAGCACUCCACGUGCAGGUGUAACGUCGGGGCGCAAAAUCACUUGUAUACGACUUGAAUACUGGUCAGGGGGUUGUAAACAGUAGAGCAGCUCUUCGCUGCGAUCUGCUGAGACUUAGCCCUUGAUCGGAUGAUUU